UUAUUCCGUCUUCGAAUCCGUCCGUGCUACACUGCGCUCGCCGGGCAACCGGCUAUGGAACUAAACGCCUCACAGAAUAAGCGUUACGGACCCGGGGGCGGUACCCGGCGCCUCCACCACUAUCCCGCCGUUCCGGUUCAUGAGCGGCUUUGUGGGGGCGAAAUAGGAUCGACGUGCGUAGUAAAGGUCAGGCUUGUUCUCGGUAUGAGUGCGACCGUCCAUCAGGCUCAAACACACUAAGUGCCAACGAUAACAUCGCUGUCACCGAAAAUGUUGCUCUCGCCGCCUAACGGCCGCUAGAGUAAUUUGAUUCGCGGUCCGGGGGCACCGGGCAACAGAACGCCCCCACU
rnacentral:tmRNA from 1 species